GAUGAACGCUGGCGGCGUGCCUAAUACAUGCAAGUCGAGCGAACAGACGAGGAGCUUGCUCCUCUGACGUUAGCGGCGGACGGGUGAGUAACACGUGGAUAACCUACCUAUAAGACUGGGAUAACUUCGGGAAACCGGAGCUAAUACCGGAUAAUAUAUUGAACCGCAUGGUUCAAUAGUGAAAGACGGUUUUGCUGGCACUUAUAGAUGGAUCCGCGCCGCAUUAGCUAGUUGGUAAGGUAACGGCUUACCAAGGCAACGAUGCGUAGCCGACCUGAGAGGGUGAUCGGCCACACUGGAACUGAGCCACGGUCCAGACUCCUACGGGAGGCAGCAGUAGGGAAUCUUCCGCAAUGGGCGAAAGCCUGACGGAGCAACGCCGCGUGAGUGAUGAAGGUCUUCGGAUCGUAAAACUCUGUUAUUAGGGAAGAACAAAUGUGUAAGUAACUAUGCACGUCUUGACGGUACCUAAUCAGAAAGCCCCGGCUAACUACGUG
rnacentral:rRNA from 1 species